GCAGUUGGCUGGUGUUCCUGUUGGCAGGUGGCAUAGCACAAGAUUGGGCUGCCAGAAUGAGGAAGAAGUGAAGAUAAGAAACCACUCGAAGCCGGUGUCUGGUGCUGGGACCGUGGUGGCUGGGACGGCAGCAGUCGUGCUGUCCAUCUGCUCUUCCGAGGGGUGGCACAUCCUAGCCUCUAUCUUUUCCCCAGAGAAGAUCCCCCUCGUCUGCUCUUCCCCCGUCUCAGCCUUUUAGUGUGUGAACAGUUCUGGUGUUACUCAGCAACGCUUUUGUUAGCGCCUUUACCAGCAAGUACUUGUUAAACACUUAAAUCUUACAAGUGGAA
rnacentral:lncRNA from 10 species